rnacentral:misc_RNA from 1 species
UACGGAGGGUGCAAACGUUGCUCGGAAUCACUGGGCGUAAAGCGAGCGUAGGCGGCAGCGUAAGUCGGGCGUGAAAGCCCUCGGCUCAACCGAGGAAGUGCGUUCGAAACUGCGCAGCUAGAGUACUGGAGAGGGUGACGGAAUUCUCGGUGUAGAGGUGAAAUUCGUAGAUAUCGGGAGGAACACCUGUGGCGAAGGCGGUCACCUGGACGGAUACUGACGCUGAGGCUCGAAAGCGUGGGGAGCAAACAGG